ACCCUUAGAUGUGCUGGGCCGCACGCGGGAUACAAUGACCCGUUCAGAAAGUAUAACCUGACCCGGAAGGGAGUGGGUAAUCUUUUUAAUGCGGGUCGUGCUAGGGAUCGAUCUUUGCAAUUAUAGAUCUUGAACGAGGAAUACCUAGUAAGUGCAAGUCAUCAGCUUGUACUGAUUACGUCCCUGGUGUUUGUACUCACCGCCCGUCGCUCCUACCAAUUUCGAAUGAUCCGGUGAACCUUUUGGAUUGGGUUGCAAAACCUAAGAAGUUAAGUAAACCUUAUCAUUUAGAGGAAGGAGAAGUCGUAACA
rnacentral:rRNA from 1 species